rnacentral:rRNA from 1 species
UACGAACCAGCCAAACGUUAUUCGGAAUCAUUGGGCUUAAAGAGUGCGUAGGCGGCGCCGUAAGUCGGGUGUGAAAUCCCUCGGCUCAACCGAGGAACUGCGCCCGAUACUGCGGCGCUCGAGGGAGACAGGGGUGAGCGGAACUGAUGGUGGAGCGGUGAAAUGCGUUGAUAUCAUCAGGAACACCGGUGGCGAAAGCGGCUCACUGGGUCUUUUCUGACGCUGAGGCACGAAAGCUAGGGUAGCGAACGGG